rnacentral:rRNA from 1 species
CCUACGGGUGGCAGCAGUGAGGAAUAUUGGUCAAUGGACGCAAGUCUGAACCAGCCAUGCCGCGUGCAGGAAGAAGGCUCUAUGAGUUGUAAACUGCUUUUAUAAGGGGGUAAACGCAGAUACGUGUAUCUGUCUGCCUGUAUCUUAUGAAUAAGGAUAGGCUAACUCCUUGCCAGCAGCCGCGGUAAUACGGAGGAUGCAAGCGUUAUCCGGAUUUUUUGGGUUUAAAGGGUGCGUAUGCGGUCGGAUAAGUUAGAGGUGAAAUCCCUGGGCUUAACUUCGGAAUUGCCUCUGAUACUGUUCGACUAGAGGGUAGUUGCGGUAGGCGGAAUGUGUGGUGUAGCGGUGAAAUGCUUAGAGAUAAGACAGAACACCGAUUGCGAAGGCAGCUUACCAGGCUACUACUGACGUUGAGGCACGAAAGCGUGGGGAGCAAACAGGAUUAGAUACCCGAGUAGUC